rnacentral:tRNA from 1 species
GGGAAGGUGGCUCAGUGGUAAAGUACUUGACUUGCAUGCAUGAGGCCCUGGGUUCGAUUCCU